ensembl:lncRNA
GCCACUCUGGAAUUCAUGUGCAGAUGCAGCACGGUGGCUCCAACUAGAAGAUUUACGUAAAUGGGACGUGCUCAUGUGGCCAGAAGGUUUUUCACUGAGGAAGAAGGCUUGUGUUUUUUCUCCACCCACCAACAGAAUAACCUAACUUUGCUUUCAAGGAGGUGAUUAUUACACGGAAUGGCACUCUGGCUGUUGUUUGAUCGGGGAAACCCCAUCUAAGACCUGUUUGUAAUCCUAUCUCUUGGGAGUGCCACCAGCAGCAGAAUCUCUAUAGCUCUCCCUGCUCGUCUCACAGUGCCUGUGAAGCGUCUCUGAGGGGAAAGACCAGACUGCUCUGUCAGCUUCAGUGCCAGAUCCGAUAGGCAUAAGCUAUAUUUCCAGCAUUUGUUUUGACUCCUUGCCCUGACACUGUGGUCUCCUCCUGUGGUGCCUGUGCUGUGGACCUUGAGCUGCUCUCUGACUCCUGCAGAGUGGGCCUGUCUCGGGUCAGAUAUCAAUAAGAUCAGCCUGUUUUUCUAGUCCAAGGUUUAAUUUAUAG